ensembl:snRNA U6 U6 spliceosomal RNA
GUAUUGACUUUGCAACACCACUAUUACAGCUGGAAUGAUACAAAAAAAUUAGAAUGGCCCCCAUGUAAGGCUGAUGUGCAAUUAUGAGAAGUGUUCUGUAUUUUU